rnacentral:rRNA from 1 species
UGCGUAGGCGGUUUGUUAAGUCUGUCGUGAAAGCCCUGGGCUCAACCUGGGAAUUGCGAUGGAUACUGGCAAGCUAGAGUACGGUAGAGGAUGGUGGAAUUCCCGGUGUAGCGGUGAAAUGCGUAGAGAUCGGGAGGAACACCCGUGGCGAAGGCGGCCAUCUGGACCAGUACUGACGCUGAGGCACGAAAGCGUGGGGAGCAAACA